rnacentral:snRNA from 1 species
AGAUACUCUCUACCACUUU